UACGUAGGGUGCGAGCGUUAAUCGGAAUUACUGGGCGUAAAGCGUGCGCAGGCGGUUUUUGUAAGCCAGGUGUGAAAUCCCCGGGCUCAACCUGGGAAUGGCAUUUGGGACUGCAAGGCUGGAGUGCGGCAGAGGAGACUGGAAUUCCUGGUGUAGCAGUGAAAUGCGUAGAUAUCAGGAGGAACACCGAUGGCGAAGGCAGGUCUCUGGGCUGA
rnacentral:rRNA from 1 species